rnacentral:rRNA from 1 species
AAUCAACGCUGGCGGCGUGCCUCAGACAUGCAAGUCGAACGCGAAAAUUCCCUUCGGGGGAUGAUUAGAGUGGCGUCCGGGUGAGUAACACGUGGGUAAUCUACCUUCGGGUGGGGAAUAACAGUCGGAAACGACUGCUAAUACCGCAUAAUGCAGCGGCACCUAAUGGUGACAGUUGUUAAAGCGGGGGAUCGCAAGACCUCGCGCCUGAAGAGGAGCCCGCGGCGGAUAGCUAGUUGGUAGGGUAACGGCCUACCAAGGCUUCGAUCCGUAGCCGGCCUGAGGAGGGCGGUCGGCCACACUGGCACUGACAUACGGGCCAGACUCCUACGGGAGGCAGCAGUCGGGAAUUUUGGGCAAUGGGCGAAAGCCUGACCCAGCAACGCCGCGUGAAGGAUGAAG